rnacentral:rRNA from 1 species
GCCUAACACAUGCAAGUCGAGGGGCAGCAUAAAAAUAGCUUGCUAUUUUGGUGGCGACCGGCGCACGGGUGCGUAACGCGUAUGCAAUCUACCCUAUACUGAGGGAUAGCCCGGAGAAAUUCGGAUUAAUACCUCAUAGUAUUUAUGAGUCGCAUGGUUUAUAAAUUAAAGGUUACGGUAUAGGAUGAGCAUGCGUCCCAUUAGCUAGAUGGUAAGGUAACGGCUUACCAUGGCAACGAUGGGUAGGGGGCCUGAGAGGGUAGUCCCCCACACUGGUACUGAGACACGGACCAGACUCCUACGGGAGGCAGCAGUGAGGAAUAUUGGUCAAUGGGCGCAAGCCUGAACCAGCCAUGCCGCGUGAAGGAAGAAGGAUCUAUGGUUUGUAAACUUCUUUUAUUUAGGAAUAAACUCUCGGACGUGUCCGAGCCUGAAGGUACUAAAUGAAUAAGCACCGGCUAACUCCGUGCCAGCAGCCGCGGUAAUACGGAGGGUGCAAGCGUUAUCCGGAAUCAUUGGGUUUAAAGGGUCCGCAGGCGGUCUUAUAAGUCAGUGGUGAAAUCUCGUAGCUUAACUAUGAAACUGCCAUUGAUACUGUAGGACUUGAAUUCGGUCGAAGUGGGCGGAAUAUGACAUGUAGCGGUGAAAUGCGUAGAUAUGAUACAGAACUCCAAUUGCGAAGGCAGGCUACUAAACCAUAACUGACGCUGAGGCACGAAAGCGUGGGGAUCAAACAGGAUUAGAUACCCUGGUAGUCUACGCCCUAAACGUUGCAUACUCGGUUUUGGCGAUAUACAGUCAGGACCCAAGCGAAAGCGUUAAGUAUGCCACCUGGGAAGUACGAUCGCAAGAUUGAAACUCAAAGGAAUUGACGG